AAGUCGUAACAAGGUUUCCGUAGGUGAACCUGCGGAAGGAUCAUUAUCGAAAUAAACCUGAGCAGGCUGUUUGCUGGUCCCUCUCCAGGGGACAUGUGCACGCUUGUCGUCUUUAUUUUUCCAACUGUGCACAUACUGUAGACCGGGAGUUUUUCUUAUCGUUCGAAUAGAUUGAGGACUGCCGCGUGCGGCUUUGCCUUGUAUUUUCCUGGUCUAUGUUGUAAUACAUUUUCACAACCUGUUUCAGAAUGUCGAGUACUGGGGAUAACAAAUAUACAACUUUCAGCAACGGAUCUCUUGGCUCUCGCAUCGAUGAAGAACGCAGCGAAAUGCGAUAAGUAAUGUGAAUUGCAGAAUUCAGUGAAUCAUCGAAUCUUUGAACGCAUCUUGCGCUCCUUGGUAUUCCGAGGAGCAUGCCUGUUCGAGUGUCAUCAAAAGUUCUCAACCACACCUGGUGUGGCUUGGAUUUGGGGGUGCAGGCUUUUGAGUCUGCUCCUCUGAAAAGGAUUAGUGGUAUCUAAGCAGAAACUACUGUCGGGCGUGAUAAUUAUCUAUGCCUCAGUGUGCAUGAACCGCUUCUAACCGAGUGUUGACAAGUUUGACCUCGAAUCAGGUAGGACUACCCGCUGAACUUAAGCAUAUCAAUAAGCGGAGGAAAAGAAACUAACAAGGAUUCCCCUAGUAACUGCGAGUGAAGCGGGAAAAGCUCAAAUUUAAAAUCUGGCGGUUUUUGACCGUCCGAGUUGUAAUCUAGAGAAGUGUUACCUGUGCUGGACCGUGUACAAGUCUCCUGGAAUGGAGCAUCAUAGAGGGUGAGAAUCCCGUCUUUGACAUGGACUGCCUGUACAUCGUGGUGCGCUCUCGAAGAGUCGAGUUGUUUGGGAAUGCAGCUCAAAACGGGUGGUAAAUGCCAUCUAAAGCUAAAUAUUGGCGAGAGACCGAUAGCGAACAAGUACCGUGAGGGAAAGAUGAAAAGAACUUUGGAAAGAGAGUUAAACAGUACGUGAAAUUGCUGAAAGGGAAACGCUUGAAGUCAGUCACGUUGGCUAGAAAUCAGCCUUGCUUUUGCUUGGCGUACUUUCUUGUUGACGGGUCAGCAUCAGUUUCGACCAUUGGAUAAGGACCUUGGGAACGUGGCAUCCUUGGAUGUGUUAUAGCCCAUUGUCGCAUACGGUGGUGGGGAUUGAGGAACUCAGCACGCCCGCAAGGGCCGGGUCUCUGGACCACGUUUCGUGCUUAGGAUGCUGGCAUAAUGGCUUUAAUCGAC
rnacentral:rRNA from 1 species